AACCACUAAAAUCAAACCCAUUCCCUUCCCCAGUGUGGUUGCUAAAGUGGCCCAAUUAUGAUAAAGAGAGUGCAAGAGUAUGAGUCUCAUUUUCUGCUCAUCUAUUUUAUUUUGAUGCCUUUAUUAAAUGCAGGAGGCACGGCUGCUCUGAUGGGUCUCCUCCCUUCACUCCUCUGGAACAGCCCUACCUUGCCAUCAGCAUCUGGUUUUUUUUUAAACAAUAUGUCUUCUGAUUUAAACAAUACCUUUCUUAUUGUAUUAAAAUAUACAUAGCAUAAAAUUUACCAUCUUAACCCUUUUAAAGUACACAGUUCAGUGAUAUUAAGUACAUUUACAUUGUUGCACAAUCAUCACCAGUCCCAUCUCCAGAACACUUUUCAUCUUCAAAACUGAAACUCUGUACCCAUUAAACACUCCCCACUCUCCCCCUCCCAGCCCCUGGCAGCCACCAUUCUACUUUGUCGCGACGAAUUUGAUGACUCUAGCCACUUACAUAAGUGGAAUCAUUGUGACUGGCUUAUUUCAUUUAGCAUAAUGUCCUCAGAGUUCAUCCGUGUUGUGAUAUGUGUCAGAAUUUCCUUCCUUUUUAAGGAUGAACACUAUUCCAUUGUAUGGAAAUGCCACAUUUUGGAUACUGUCUUAUUUCUCUACCUGUAUUUCCUGGAAACAACUUCCCACUUAGCAUCUAUACCCAAGCUCUUAGCUCAGGGUGUGCUUUAGAGGGAACACAAAUCAAGGAGGAUUUACAUGUUUUUUACCCCUUUGAGGUGUUUUAGACCCUGGCUUAUAAGUGAAAUCAAAAAACAAGGUAAAGAAAUGCUGAACAUGAAAAAAAAAUUCUUCUGAAGGAACAGAAAAGAAUACCAGGGCUACUUAGAGAAAACUCAGGGCAACAGAGUUGAUAUAAGGGCGUGUAACUCAUGGUAAAUGCAAGGGGAGAGUCCACAGACUCAGCCAGAAGACACAGCAAUCGUGAGUCGAGGCAAAUGGAUCAGGGUCUGUGGCCGGUGACUUCUUGGUGUGAGGGACCCAGAGGAGGCUCAUUCCCAGCACAAGUCCCUAGAGAGCUGGACAACAGCUUAGGGCUCUACAGGGAGCAAGAACCUAGGCAAAGGUGAUGGUUUUCAAGGACUCAGGUAGAUGAGACAGGUGAGCAGCCUUCUCCAAAAGAUUGGCAUGAGAGUGAAAUUUCUAAUAUUCUCCCCUGGCUGGUUCUCUCUUGGUCCUGGCUGGUGACAGCUGUGUCCAGUUGGGGAAGGACUAAAGUGGCAAACCCAUCUGAACUUCUGAAAGUUUCCCCCAAAAUGUUAUAUUUGCUUCAGUGGAUUCCACGGUUGAGUCUACAAAUAUCAGAACUUUGGGUAUGUGAGCUUCUGUUCUCUUUUCCCUUCUCUGAGACUGUCUGUGCAGUCCACAGUCCUAAUGACCAUCUUCCCAUCCUUUGGCAGAGCGGCUGAGCUGCCAUCAGGAAGAAAGGUCUUGUGAGUAGCUGCACAGUUCAUCCCCACUGUAGAUCACAGCUCAGGGCUUUUCCAUUGAGCACUACUGAUUCAUUCUGGGUUGCCCCUUAGUUCGAUUAUGAGGUGCUCUGUGUAACACGGCUCUCUUUUGUAAGCCUGCUCUUUCCGAGACAGAAGAAUGAAGAUGUCUUCGAUAAAGGAAGUGGAUAAUACUGAGCGCUUUGUGACAUCCUUUACAAGCUGAGCAUGCGCAAGCACAGGGGCAAGUGCUCCGUAAACUACCAAGUUUAGUAGGGGUAAGGAGGUCCUACUAAAGGACUGGAGAGACCAGGUGAGUGCAGAAUGAGAGGAGCUCCUGGGGGUUUAUGUGGCAACAGGGGCCAUCCCCUGGAGGUGGUGCAGAUCCGAAAACCCUGCAUCCUUUAGCCUGGCUGUUCUUUCACUGUGACUUGGAAUGGGGAAUGAGUAGCCAGAGAACAAAGCCUUGUGGCAGCUGCUCUCACAGCCACACCCACAUUCCCUGGACACUGACUGCUCUCAAACCCUCAUGUGGAGUACUAGGGUGCGUGGCGGUGACUCCCCAGGGCUUGCUCUCCCCACUCACAGGAAGUGCCAGAGCCCAAUUCCCCAGGAGCAGCCUUCAGCCAAGGAGGAUGGGGUGCUGGGUGGAAAACAAAAUUGCCCUCUUCCUCACUUUUUCAGGCAAGUCUGAGACAAGUUCCACACCAACAAGCCCCCAGGUUGCAUUUGAGGUGCUCACAGCAGAGGCCUGCUCAUUAACUGCUUCCCCUCCUUCCCUGUCUCACUUUUUCACAAGUCAUCUGUGUCUUCCUGGAAGCAGAUGCUGGGAAGGAGUUACAAGUGCAAGUAAUUCCUUGAGCACAGGCCAAUUCCACCAGCAAAGGUGCCCAGCUCACCUGCUUGGUCCCCCGGAGAAGUAUUGAGGCCACAGGAAAAUGGGGCCUGAAGACUGAUACUCCCAGGAAGAAGCAAGACUGAGAGCAAGAAGGAGACAAGGGGACCAAGAGCGACAGGAGCAGAAAAAGAAAGAGGAAGAGGAUGAGGGACGGAGGAAGGAGAGAAGGGCAAGAAAGGUUCCACAUUUUCCCAAAUGUAUGAGCCUCUAUCCUAAGACAUGUCCAAAAGUUCUUUACUUACAGGGACAUGAUCUAGGGGCUUAGAGGGCCCUGGAAAAGUCAGAUAAUAUAUUUUAAAGACCCAAUUUUACACAAAAGAACAAAAAGAGGAAGAACUAUAGCAGAAUGCCACUGCUGUGGAUUCAGACUUCACCUCCCUGCCCACGGAGAUGAUUGAAGGGGAAAAAGGACAGAACAUGAAACUAACAAGCUUGAGGCCUUAUCAGUGUCUGUAUUGGCAAAUUGAGGAGCGAUGCACUCCCCAAGGCUGAAUGUUUUUCUACCAAUGCAUAAGAUCUACCAGCCACAGACAGGCACUGUUUUUAGAUGGUCUUGAGGCAUCUCAUUUUACAAAGGAUAAAGAAACAGACGGAUGCUAUAUAGAAACUGGUGGAGUGGGGUGGAAGAGAAGACAGAAGACAAGGGUUAUAAUUUAAUCAUAUAAACUCUGGAUGCAAUAACCAAGGUCUCCCCAGAAAGCUGUCAGUGUAUACUUGUGUGGAGCUUCUGUUCACUUUUCGUCAUUUAUGGAACCAACCUGAGGACCUCAUUGGAAAGAGAGUGGAUGCCGGCACCAUGCUUCUUGUUCAGCCUGCAGAACUGGGAGACAACAUAAACCUCUUUCCUUUUAUAACUUACCCAGACUUGAGUAUUUCUUUGUAGCAAUACAAACAGACAAAGCAUCUGACAAGCGAAUUGUUCAAUGAAGAGAUUGUUAGAGCCCAGGGAAGAGUCAUCAUGUUCAAUUGGUACAAGAUGCAAUUAACUAAUAUGAUUUGGGACAGCUGUCUCCAUUGAGGUCACCAGGGUGUCAUGGAGUGAAGCUUCAGGAGGAAGAGCUGACUACUUCCUACCCUGGGCUCCAUUUUUGUCAGGGCUCUACAGAGAGACAGAACCGACAAGAUAUAAAGAGAGGAAUAAAACAAAAAUCCAGA